rnacentral:lncRNA from 1 species
AUGUGUCCAGGGGUGCUGAGGGGCGCAGGGCCAGGCCCAAAGCCUUCAGUGGGUACAGACAGGUGCCCACUGGCCACCCCUGGCUGUGUCCUCCUCACCCUGGUCAGCCCAAAUGCCAUGGGGAAGGUGAAAGCAGAGAUUUACAUCCAAGUCACUGAUCCAGCCUGCCUGGGAGAGAGGAUUGGGAACUUCCAGCCCUGGGUGACUGAACAAACACAGCAUCAACCACCAGGAACGAUUUGCAAACAACUGAGCAGCAGACAAAUGUGCAAAUGUAUCUGAUGGCUACUUCUGGAUAAUGAAUGCAUAAUCUAUUCCGACUCCCCUUCCUAUCUGCUUCUGGAUAAUGUGUCUGAGCCUGAGUCAGGCUCACAAAUGGUUGGCAACGAGGCAAACAGGCUGUGUUUGGGCCAAAUAUUAUGUUCAGCAAAUAAGAAGCAGUUUUGCCAUGGGCAGCUGCUGUUAGAGCCCAGUGUCAGAAUCCUUCCAUGCUCCACGAUUCCAGCUCUCUGGGCUGCAGGGUGCACAACUGACUUGUGCCUCAAAAAUCUGAUUUUAUGCCUAAACAGCAGAGUUUAAAGAGCAUUACUGUGUUCCUUCCCCACCUAUCUGCUCAUUAGAAAGUGGCUCUUAACAUUUAUUUGCCUCAGCUGCUGGGAAGGCUCCAAAAAUGCUAAUUACAAGGGCAUUGCAGUAAAUUACAUUUGGUGACAUAACUCUGAGUCACCGGUUCAGGACAUUUUCCCUCCUCUUCCCUGGAGCAAUUCAUUUAACAAAGGUGGGGAAAAGCAGAAAAUAAUUGUGCAUGAGACUUAGCAGGGAGCCAGCACUCCCAAAGUGCUGUGACUUCUGGGUGUCCCAGGGGAGGCAGCUCCUCCUGGGAGUGGUGGCAAACUGGACACUGGAGGUUUUCCAGCCACUUUGGGAAAUGCUGCUGCCACUUAGUCCUGGAGUGGGAGAAGAGGAGCCUGAAACCAUUGGGAGUCUUCCCAGGUAGACUCCUGCACUCCCUGCAAAUUCCAUUUUCCCCUGGGAAAUCUGCUCUCCAUCCACUCAGCCCUUGGGGAAUGUUAUGUGUAGUAGAUAUAAUUUGCGCCAUUUCUAAUAUGAUAUGUGUGAUUUUGAAUAUUUGUUGGAGUAUACACGUUUGUAUUAGGAUUCCCCUUCACCCUCACAGGCGAGACUGGGUGUAUAUUAGAAACUGAUUUACAAAUAAGAAGGUACAGCUCGCCAGGAGAUGGGCCAUGUCUGGGGAGAUACAGAAACCCCAGGUGCUGAUCGUGGCAUGAACAACCUGGGAUGGAUCUCAUGGAAAUACUUGGGCAGAUACAUGUGCAUACAGCGUUCCCGAAUUCCCGUAAAUUUCAUGAAUUCCCAUAAAUUUCAUCACGGGAUUCAACAACUCCUGACACUGAAUUGUUCUCCCUCAUCACUAAAAAAGAAAAUCUUAUUAACCUAUAGACUCUGAAUAGAAGAAAAGACUGAUUGCUGAAAUCUUGGCCUCAGGUGGAAUUUUCCCUAUAAAACCCACUUGUGCCAGGAUGGAGGUGUGUGGGCACAGAGGAAACCUCUGCUGAGGCUGACUCCUUGUUGCACACCCAGGGCUGACCCCGGGCUCGGCUCUGUUCUUUCCUUGUGGCUGGCUAGAUAGAAUUUGAUUGCAAAAUAAAUAUUUUAUUUUUCAUAUUAAUUUGGCUGGACAAAUUUUCAUUUAUAACAGGAAGAAGAAAGAAAAGUCACUUCAUGGUGUUGGGUGGUAAAUCCUUGUCCCAGCUCGGGCUGUGCCUGCUCCGUGUGGCUGCUCUGCAGGCAGGAUGGAUGCCCGGGAGGAUGCAGGACGCAGAUCCCUGGAGGAUGCUCUCGGUGAGGGGGUGCUGCAGACCUGAGGGGGCUGUCUCUGCCUCAGCAGCCUCCCCACGCCCCCAGCAGAUCCCGCUCAGGCUUUGCGGAUGAUCCUGCCCGGCUUCCUCCAGUCCCGGUGCCGCUCCCUGCGCACCGAGUGCACCAGCGGCCGGCAGAAGGCGGAGGGGGCUGCCCUGGGGGUGCUGCUGCUGAGGAACAGGGCAAGAAGACAUUGUUGGGGAAGAUAUAAUAUGAUUAUAUAUGAUAUAAAUAUGAC